UACAGAGGGGGCAAGCGUUGUUCGGAAUUACUGGGCGUAAAGGGCGCGUAGGCGGCCUGCUAAGUCGAACGUGAAAUCCCUGGGCUCAACCCAGGAACUGCGUCCGAUACUGGUUGGCUUGAGUUUGGGAGAGGGACGCGGAAUUCCAGGUGUAGCGGUGAAAUGCGUAGAUAUCGGGAGGAACACCAGUAGCGAAGGCGGCUCGCUGGGCCGUUCCUGACGCUGAGACGCGAAAGCUAGGGGAGCGAACAGG
rnacentral:rRNA from 1 species